UGCCUUUUUUCACUUGUCUGAGACUUUCAAACCUAACUCUCACUUGACUACGAUUGACACCGGCACCUCCUUCGACGCCUCGAGCUUAUUCUCCGAUCUGAGCCGCCUUGAGCUCGUUCUCCGACCCGAGCUCGUUCUCCGGGUUCAGCUCUUUCUCUCUCGCUCUUCCUUAAAACCCUAGAGCUCUCCUCCUUCUCUCUUUCUGCGGCUACUGUCUCUCCUUCAUUAACCUGGCCUCCUCUGUCCCCUCACUGGCGUCAUCGCCUCUGACGGUGCUUCUCGUCCAACGCCACCACUUUUUUGCUUCGAGAUCUGAAACCAACCGGCCUCCAAGGAGUCUAUCCUCCUCGAUUGGUGAGACUUCGAGCACCAAAUGCUGGUGAUAGAUAAGAGUUUGAGUAAGAGGAGAAGAGAGAGGAAAGAAAGUGAAAGAAUGGCGAGCAGGUACUGGGUGGUGUCUCUGCCUGUCCAAAACUCAACGUCGUAUUUAUGGAACCACCUCCAGGAUCAAAUCUCCAAGCAUUCCUUCGACACUCCCCUCUACAGAUUCAAUAUUCCCAAUCUCUUCUCUCCCUCAGCGACGAUCUCUUAAAGUCCAACAACUUUGUAGAGGCUGUUUCUCACAAGAUCAAGUGUCAGAUCAAGGAGCUAGAGAGGGUUUCAGGAGUCAAGAGCAGUUC